GCAUUAGUGGUGUAAAACAACACAUAAUAUUUUCAUUAUUAAACUGAGAUUUUUAUUCUCCUAAAGCU
rnacentral:tRNA from 1 species